UACGUAAGUGGCGAGCGUUAUCCGGAAUUACUGGGUGUAAAGGGUGUGUAGGCGGCCUUUUAAGUCAUGUGUUAAAUUUCCCGGCUUAACCGGGAACCUGCGCGUGAAACUGGAAGGCUUGAGUAGAGGAGAGGUAACUGGAAUUCCUAGUGUAGCGGUGGAAUGUGUAGAUAUUAGGAAGAACACCAGUGGCGAAGGCGGGUUACUGGCCUCUUACUGACGCUGAGACACGAAAGCCGGGGGAGCAAACAGG
rnacentral:rRNA from 1 species